rnacentral:rRNA from 1 species
GCUUACCUGCAAGUCGAACGAUGAACCUCACUUGUGGGGGGGUUAGUGGCGAACGGGUGAGUAACACGUGAGUAACCUGCCCUUGACUCUGGGAUAAGCCUGGGAAACUGGGUCUAAUACCGGAUAUGACCUUCCAUCGCAUGGUGGUUGGUGGAAAGCUUUUGUGGUUUUGGAUGGACUCGCGGCCUAUCAGCUUGUUGGUGGGGUAAUGGCCUACCAAGGCGACGACGGGUAGCCGGCCUGAGAGGGUGACCGGCCACACUGGGACUGAGACACGGCCCAGACUCCUACGGGAGGCAGCAGUGGGGAAUAUUGCACAAUGGGCGAAAGCCUGAUGCAGCGACGCCGCGUGAGGGAUGACGGCCUUCGGGUUGUAAACCUCUUUCAGUAGGGAAGAAGCCGCAAGGUGACGGUACCUGCAGAAGAAGCGCCGGCUAACUACGUGCCAGCAGCCGCGGUAAUACGUAGGGCGCAAGCGUUAUCCGGAAUUAUUGGGCGUAAAGAGCUCGUAGGCGGUUUGUCGCGUCUGCCGUGAAAGUCCGGGGCUCAACUCCGGAUCUGCGGUGGGUACGGGCAGACUAGAGUGAUGUAGGGGAGACUGGAAUUCCUGGUGUAGCGGUGAGAUGCGCAGAUAUCAGGAGGAACACCGAUGGCGAAGGCAGGUCUCUGGGCAUUAACUGACGCUGAGGAGCGAAAGCAUGGGGAGCGAACAGGAUUAGAUACCCUGGUAGUCCAUGCCGUAAACGUUGGGCACUAGGUGUGGGGGACAUCCCACGUUUUCCGCGCCGUAGCUAACGCAUUAAGUGCCCCGCCUGGGGAGUACGGCCGCAAGGCUAAAACUCAAAGGAAUUGACGGGGGCCCGCACAAGCGGCGGAGCAUGCGGAUUAAUUCGAUGCAACGCGAAGAACCCUUACCAAGGCUUGACAUGAACCGGUAACGCCUGGAAACAGGUGCCCCGCUUGCGGUCGGUUUACAGGUGG